rnacentral:rRNA from 1 species
GACGAACGCUGGCGGCGUGCUUAACACAUGCAAGUCGAACGGAAAGGCCCUGCUUUUGUGGGGUGCUCGAGUGGCGAACGGGUGAGUAACACGUGUGUCACCUGCCCUUGACUUUGGGAUAACUUCAGGAAACUGGGGCUAAUACCGGAUAGGAGCUCCUGCUGCAUGGUGGGGGUUGGAAAGUUUCGGCGGUUGGGGAUGGACUCGCGGCUUAUCAGCUUGUUGGUGGGGUAGUGGCUUACCAAGGCUUUGACGGGUAGCCGGCCUGAGGGGGUGACCGGCAACAUUGGGACUGAGAUACGGCCCAGACUCCUACGGGAGGCAGCAGUGGGGAAUAUUGCACAAUGGGCGGAAGCCUGAUGCAGCAACGCCGCGUGCGGGAUGACGGCCUUCGGGUUGUAAACCGCUUUCGCCUGUGACGAAGCGUGAGUGACGGUAAUGGGUAAAGAAGCACCGGCUAACUACGUG